rnacentral:misc_RNA from 1 species
GCAAACUUGGUCAUUUAGAGGAAGUAAAAGUCGUAACAAGGUAACCGUAGGUGAACCUGCGGUUGGAUCAUUACCGAAAGGGAAAAAAUAGUUGGUCCCACAAACAUGGUGAUCUGCGUGAUCUGCGUUUGUGGUGAUGUGCUGAUACCGCUUGACCUGGAAUGCCCAACGAACCUUUUGUGAACUGUCUUGUCUCUGGCGGCGGGGUGGUGGUAAGUGGUGUUUGCGAUUUUUCGCCCACAUCCUCCCAUCUGUCAGCUUGGGGAAACCCCUUGGGGUGUCCCUUCGCCGUGGACAAACCGCCAACCACGUCUACAACCUUUAGUCCAUUUUUGUUGUCUUACCUGCAUCUGUGUAUUGAAUACAGAAACAACUUUUGGCAACGGAUCUCUUGGCUCUCGCAUCGAUGAAGAACGCAGC